UACGUAGGGGGCAAGCGUUGUCCGGAAUCAUUGGGCGUAAAGAGCGCGUAGGCGGCCCGAUAAGUCCGCUGUGAAAGUUAAGGGCUUAACCCUUGAAUGCCGGUGGAAACUGUCGGGCUAGAGUCCGGAAGAGGCGAGUGGAAUUCCUGGUGUAGCGGUGAAAUGCGCAGAUAUCAGGAGGAACACCGAUGGCGAAGGCAGCUCGCUGGGACGGUACUGACGCUGAGGCGCGAAAGCGUGGGGAGCAAACAGG
rnacentral:rRNA from 1 species